CUGCUUGCUAAAUAAUUGACUAAAAUGAUACCUCUUUUUUAUAGUUGUGACAUCUGCUUAAAAAAACCCCGGUGUACAUGAGUAAUAUAGAACACUUUUGUGCAAAAUUCCCUAGAAUCAGCUAGUAGUGGCAUCUGAAAUUUCUCCUCUUCAACAGGGAAGUCCCCGCUGUACAAGGUUAGCUACUUAUUACAUAUAUCAAAGUCAAUCAAGUUUCCUGUCUAUCAAUUACAUGUAAAAUACGUGUAAAUUUUCCUCAAAAAUACCAAAUGUUUCGAGUCCUUUACAAAGUCCUUUUUUCUUGUAUCUACUCAACCUCUAACUAUUUCUUACAGGUAACUUUAACAUGAGUAAGUUUUCUUUGGAAACACUGCUGGGAAGUUUUACAGAGUAGACAUGAGCACGUCAGCACAGAUAAGUGGUCAUGUGAAAAAAAGCAGUACCAACACAGAGGAGAAAGAGCAUGAGACAGAAUUAUUCUUUUCUGUGAGAACUGGCUGUAGCACCCUACUUAAUACUCUGACCAGUUAUUUGAGGCAGCACUGCUAAUGUUAUUUCCUUGUGGUGUUAUAAUGAAUUACCUAAAGACUCUAAGCCAUCAGGACUUCUGGAACAACAGAACAACGGGAUCUGCCUCUACCCUACGCUGAAAAGCUUCAGCUGAGGUGAUGAUGUGGCAAAGCCAGAGAGCCAUUAGCAAAGUACACCAAAAUCCAGGUGUUGGUUCUCCACAGUACUGUUUCUGCCACUGUCCUAUUGUGAAGCAUUUUUUCUAAACAUCUCUCCUGGGGAGAAACAUGGCCUUGCAGUGGGAUGCCAGGGGGAAUCCCAUAGCCAAAAAAAAACCCAAAAAAGACACUUAGCCAGAUGUUGACACAUUUCUGCUGUGGAUGCUAAUUUGCGUUGAAGUUGGACCUUGGAACUGACAGAUCACACAGUCAAAAUCUUCUUGGGCAACUAUACGAGUACUUUCUAGUCUGUAGAAUGGAGGAACAAGCUGCAAAAUUCAGGAAAUAUUUAUGAAUUUAGCAACUAAUUGAAGAUGGAACUUACAAGAAACAAAGUAUUUUAGAAGGAGUAACUGUGGAGACUGAGAAAUGCUUACAGGUCCUGCACUCUAAAUUACCAGAUAGUAGAGAUUUUCCUCAAAAAAAAAAAAUGGAACUGUAAAGUCAUCUUAUCAAAACCCAAUGCAGUGCAUUCACUGCCUGGCACUGUCACAAGGAUAAAGCAGAGGUAGCACACAGGGCAACUUUCCCCACCUAAGAAAGGGUGGGAACAGUAAGGUAAGGACAAGCAAACAAAAUCUGUGGGGCAGCAAUGGCUCUAGUUUGGCCAUAGCUGACUCUCCAAGGUAGGUGAGGGGGUCUGACACACCCUUAGGAAACAACCCUGUGUCUUGUUGCUGCACAUUCUUGUUGGUUUGGAAGCUCUGCAUCCACACUGCAUUAAGGUAACACCUCUGCAGCUGUUUUGAGA